rnacentral:rRNA from 1 species
CGGACGGGUGAGUAAUGUCUGGGAAACUGCCCGAUGGAGGGGGAUAACUACUGGAAACGGUAGCUAAUACCGCAUAACGUCGCAAGACCAAAGUGGGGGACCUUCGGGCCUCACACCAUCGGAUGUGCCCAGAUGGGAUUAGCUAGUAGGUGGGGUAACGGCUCACCUAGGCGACGAUCCCUAGCUGGUCUGAGAGGAUGACCAGCCACACUGGAACUGAGACACGGUCCAGACUCCUACGGGAGGCAGCAGUGGGGAAUAUUGCACAAUGGGCGCAAGCCUGAUGCAGCCAUGCCGCGUGUAUGAAGAAGGCCUUCGGGUUGUAAAGUACUUUCAGCGGGGAGGAAGGCGAUGUGGUUAAUAACCGCGUCGAUUGACGUUACCCGCAGAAGAAGCACCGGCUAACUCCGUGCCAGCAGCCGCGGUAAUACGGAGGGUGCAAGCGUUAAUCGGAAUUACUGGGCGUAAAGCGCACGCAGGCGGUCUGUCAAGUCGGAUGUGAAAUCCCCGGGCUUAACCUGGGAACUGCAUUCGAAACUGGCAGGCUAGAGUCUUGUAGAGGGGGGUAGAAUUCCAGGUGUAGCGGUGAAAUGCGUAGAGAUCUGGAGGAAUACCGGUGGCGAAGGCGGCCCCCUGGACAAAGACUGACGCUCAGGUGCGAAAGCGUGGGGAGCAGACAGGAUUAGAUACCCUGGUAGUCCACGCCGUAAACGAUGUCGACUUGGAGGCUGUUCCCCUGAGGAGUGGCUUCCGGAGCUAACGCGUUAAGUCGACCGCCUGGGGAGUACGGCCGCAAGGUUAAAACUCAAAUGAAUUGACGGGGGCCCGCACAAGCGGUGGAGCAUGUGGUUUAAUUCGAUGCAACGCGAAGAACCUUACCUACUCUUGACAUCCACAGAAUUUGCAAG